rnacentral:rRNA from 1 species
CGGUAAUACGGAGGAUCCAAGCGUUAUCCGGAAUCAUUAAACCCGGGGGGUCCGUAGGCGGUCAGAUAAGUCAGCAACAGGACGUUAUCGCUCAACGGUGGAACGGCCAUUGAUACUGUCUGACCCAGGCCGUUAGGAAGUAACUAGAAUAUGUAGUGUAGCGGUGAAAUGCUUAGAGAUUACAUGGAAUACCAAUUGCGAAGGCAGGUUACUACUAAUUGAUUGACGCUGAUGGACGAAAGCGUGGGUAGCGAACAGGAUUAGUCUUUGUGGUAGUCCACGCCGUAAACGAUGGAUACUAGCUGUCAAGAGCAAUCUCAGUGGCUAAGCGAAAGUGAUAAGUAUCCCACCUGGGGAGUACGUUCGCAAGAAUGAA